CCUACGGGUGGCAGCAGUGGGGAAUAUUGGGCAAUGGGCGCAAGCCUGACCCAGCAACGCCGCGUGAAGGAAGAAGGCUUUAGGGUUGUAAACUUCCUUUCUCAGGGACGAAGCAAGUGACGGUACCUGAGGAAUAAGCCACGCCUAACUACGUGCCAGCAGCCGCGGUAAUACGUAGGUGGCAAGCGUUAUCCGGAUUUAUUGGGUGUAAAGGGUGUGUAGGUGGGACUGUAAGUCAGAUGUGAAAGCUAUGGGCUCAACCAAUGACUUGCAUUUGAAACUGUAGUUCUUGAGUACGGUGGAGGCAGGCGGAAUGCGUGGUGUAGCGGUGAAAUGCGUAGAUAGUAGGAAGAACUCCGGUUGCGAAGGCAGUUUGCUAAGCCACAACUGACACUGAGGCACGAAAGCGUGGGGAGCAAACAGGAUUAGAUACCCGAGUAGUC
rnacentral:rRNA from 1 species